UUCUCUCAAAUUUCAAAUAAAAUAUUGUUAUUUAAAGCAUUUGUUUGCAGAAAUUGAGAAACAAGUUCAUAUUCAUAAAGUUUUAAGAGUUCAAUAUUUGGUGGAAUAGCCCUGGUUUUAAUCACAGUUUUCAUGCAUUUAGGCAUGAUCUUCUCCACCAGUCCUACACACUACUUUUGGAUACUUUAUGCCACUCCUGGUGCAAAAAUAGAGAAAUCCUCUGAAGGUGGUCUGUGAAUGAUUUUCAUUGUGGUUUAUAUUGUGAUCUGAUUAGUUUGGCACAUUGGAAAUGGCUAAGUAGCCUCAAGGGUCAAGAAUCUACAAAUAGCCAAGAUCUUCCAGUUUUCAGAUGUGUGUGAUCACUUAGAGAGCUAGGAUAUACAGUGAUUUUUAUUUUGAUUAAAGAUUGAUGCUAUGCAACAUUAGACUUUCUACCACAGUGAUUAAAUUGUGGUCACUGCUUUUCUAAAGUGGUGACAAACACUAAAAUCUAUAGUAUAAUAAAAUUAAAUGUAUUAAAAUACAAAAACAGCUUUUAGAGAGUAUUUAUAGGGUUUUUAACAUGGCUUAGCAAAUCAGAUCUGUUAGAUACUGAACACUGCAUGAAUGAUUCAGUGUUACCCAAGUGAGUUCUGAGUUUUAAAGACGUUAAGUUGUAAACAGAAGGCUGGUUCACUUUCAGGUUCACUUUAACAGACCUAGGUUUGUGACAGCACCCUCAGCUUCAUGUCCAGUCAAGUCAUACAGAAGCCCAUUUUCAACAAGUCAAGCUGCAGGUCAAACAGUAACUGUGGCUUGAGAACUUUGCUGUGGUGAACUCCUGCUCCACUGGCCUCAGUUUUAGGUUGGCCUACAUUCUAAACACUUGGUAAAACUAAUCAGUUCACUUGGCCUCUUUUCUGAAAGCUCUAAUAUCUAAUACAGCUAACAGCCAGGCAUGUGUGCACGAUCUGAUUUCCUCGGGUUGCUGUUGUUCCUGAAACAACGUGAAUAAAGUGGAUCCAGGACCGACAACACUCACAUCCAAUCAGAUUUAGCGUCUCUCACUGACGUCAUUACAAGCGCGACUGUCCAAAAAGACCGCGGGGAGAUUCAAACACCAGUAACUGCUGUGCCCCCUUGUGCGUUCAAGCUGUGCGGUGUGGAGGAAGGUUUUUGGCUGGUUCUAGGAAUAGGUGACUGGAUGACCUACUUAACGUUGUCCUUAGUAAAGCUGAUGAUUACUUCACUGUGAUAAAAGCCCUGCAGGAUACUGAUCGUGUCAAGAAUCCAAUAGGUUUGGUUCUCAGAAUCUUUUACAUUCAGUUUCCCAGAUGAUGGAAAGUGGUUGGAGAGACAAAAUAAUUGUAAAGAGAGAUCGGGGAAUUUGUCAAUAUCAGGUCCCCUCUCUGUUACACACUGUGUACAGGGCCAUCUAAAAAAAUUAGAAUAUCUUUGGGAAAAAAAGUUAAUUUAUUUCAAUAAUUCAGUUAAAAAUGUGAAACUCAUUAUGUAGAUGUGUUACACAUAGACUGAUCUAUUUUAAGCGUUUAUUUACUGAUGAUCAGUGAUGGUUUGGAGAGACAUGUCAUCUGCUGGUGUUGAUCCACUGUGUUUUAUUAUCAAGUCUAAAGUCAGUGCAGUUUUGUUUUCCCACAAAAUCUUACAGCACUUCAUGCUUCAAUCUGCUGACUGCUUUCAUGGAGAUGUGGAUUUCAUUUUCCAGCAGGACUUGGCACACUGCCCACACUGCCAAAAUUACCAACUGGUCUUAUAUAAUGUAAUUUUCUGAGACACAGAAUUCUGGGUUUUCAUUGGCUGUAAGCCAUAAUCAACAAUAAAAAAAAUAAACGCCUAAAAUAGAUUACUGUGUGUAAUACAUCUAUAUAAUAGAGUUUCACAUUUUAACUGAAUUACUGAAAUAGUCACUUUUCAUAGCUGAAAUGAUUUUAAACACACAUGACUGCAUUUUAAAAGCAGAACUGGAAACAAGUGUGGGAUUAUUCAGCUAAAGCUAACAACACAGAUGAAAGUCAAAGAUUUUAACCACAGUGUCAAAUGUAAAUAUAAAACUAGUUCCCUAGCUCUGUAAACAAACACUUUACUUGAAAAUAUUGGAAAAUGUAUCCACAGAUAAAGAAAAGUCAGAAACAGAAGAACUUCUUGAUUUUCCACAGAAAAGAAGAAAAGAAAACAUUAAUGUUGUUCCAUUGGAGUAUGUGACUAUCCUUUAAUAUCUUAAUCUCUUAUGACAAUAUGAAAAAUGCAGUUUUAAAAAGAUUUCUCUCUACAUGUGCAUUUUUUUUUUAAAACUUUAUAGCAGCUUUCAUUUCUACACCAUGCACAUGUAAGAGCUGAGUGUGUAAAUAACAAAUAUUGUUCUUAAAGAAAGCAAAUAGUUCUUCUAUGGCAUCACUUGAAUCUACUGUAAACUCUUAAUUUUUAAGUAUAGCUAAGAUUAAAUGUCAUGAUUUUUUAUUUUAAAUGUACAAUGUCCUAAAGGGUUUGAUGUUUAAUAAUUAAAAUUUAUUGUGACUGGAAAUGUUACAAAUAAGAUGCUUCCUGUUAAAUUAUUUUUAAUCUUCAUAUUCAUGUUUUUGUACUUUUAACUAGUUUUGUGUAUUAUACUGUAUUUAACUAAUGCCAGUGCAUGAAUGUUCUCUGAUCUGAACAUGCAUAAAUAAAAUCAAUAAAUACAAAUUCUUUAAGCAACGUUUUAUUAAAAGAACAAACUGGAAUAAGACAUCUUUUUUUUAUUACACACAUUUAAAUGACCAUGGGGAAAAAAGUUAGACAUUGGUAAAAUAAUACUGCAACUAAAAAAACAAAGCACUAGGCUAACAUCUCACUCUUACCCAUUAAUACAGGGAUGGUCUGAUUUAUAAGGGCUAACAUGGUCUAAUAUUCCAAAUUAUGUAGAGAGAAAGAGACACACACACAGAGCGAGCUCUGGAAAUGAUUAAUACACCACUUCAGUUUCUGAAUCCGUUUCUCUGAUUUUGCUUUUUAUAGAUAUGUUUUAUUCUAGAAACUACGGCAAUAUUUCUCCCAAAUUACAAAAAAAAAGUCAUUUAGAGCAUUUAUCUGCAGAAAAGAAAUGGCUGAAAUAAAAAGAUGCAGAGCUUAUAGACCUAAAAAAAAUCUAUUUGGUGGAAUAACCCUGGUUUUUAAUCAGUUUUCAUGCAUCUUGGCAUCAUGCUCUCCUCCACCGGUCUUACACACUGCUUUUGGAUAACUUUAGGCCACUCCUGGUGCAAAAAUUCAAGCAGUUCAGUUUGGUUUGAUUGCUUGUGAUCAAUCUUGAUUUUUUUU